rnacentral:rRNA from 1 species
AUUGAACGCUGGCGGCAUGCUUUACACAUGCAAGUCGAACGGCAGCACGGGGGCAACCCUGGUGGCGAGUGGCGAACGGGUGAGUAACACAUCGGAACGUGUCCAGUUGUGGGGGAUAACCCAUCGAAAGGUGGGCUAAUACCGCAUGAGCUGGCGACAGGAAAGCAGGGGACCCGCAAGGGCCUUGUGCGAUUGGAGCGGCCGAUGUCCGAUUAGCUAGUUGGUGGGGAAAGGCCUACCAAGGCUUCGAUCGGUAGCUGGUCUGAGAGGAUGAUCAGCCACACUGGGACUGAGACACGGCCCAGACUCCUACGGGAGCAGCAGUGGGGAAUUUGGACAAUGGGGGCAACCCUGAUCCAGCCAUGCCGCGUGAGUGAAGAA